AUUGAACGCUGGCGGCAUGCCUUACACAUGCAAGUCGAACGGCAGCACGAAAGAGCUUGCUCUCUUGGUGGCGAGUGGCGAACGGGUGAGUAAUGCAUCGGAACGUACUGAGUAACGGGGGUUAAUUGUCCGAAAGGAUAGCUAAUACCGCAUACGCUUUGAGAAGGAAAGUGGGGGCUCUUCGGACCUCACGUCAUUCGAUCGGCCGAUGUCUGAUUAGCUAGUUGGUGGGGUAAAGGCCUACCAAGGCGACGAUCAGUAGCGGGUCUGAGAGGAUGAUCGGCCACACUGGAACUGAGACACGGCCCAGACUCCUACGGGAGGCAGCAGUGGGGAAUUUUGGACAAUGGGCGCAAGCCUGAUCCAGCCAUGCCGCGUGUGUGAAGAAGGCCUUCGGAUUGUAAAGCACUGUUAUUAGGGAAGAAAAGGAUAGUGUUAAUACCUUUAUCUGCUGACGGUACCUAAAGAAUAAGCACCGGCUAACUACGUG
rnacentral:rRNA from 1 species